rnacentral:rRNA from 1 species
AACGUAGGAGACAAACGUUAUCCGGAGUUACUGGGCGUAAAGGGCGCGCAGGCGGUCUGGCAAGUUUGGAGUGACAGUGCUCGGCUUAACUGAGCAAGGCCUUCGAAAACUGCUAGACUUGAGCACUCAAGAGGGACAUAGAAUUCCGGGUGGAGUGGUGAAAUGCGUAGAUAUCCGGAGGAAUACCAAAGGCGAAGGCAGUGUCCUGGGGAGUGUCUGACGCUCAGGCGCGAAAGCUAGGGGAGCGAACAGG